GUUUUAACCUGCUAUGUUCUAAUUGCAUCCUUAAAAGAACACUCGAUACUCCAUAACCCCACCUUGAUCAACUUGAGGAUUAUGGAGCCUGAAAAAGGCAAGCUACAAAUUUAGCAAGGAAAUAGAAGGUUGCAGUAUGAGAUGACAAAAGUGUCUGUUGUUUACAACAGAAAACCAACACGGCAGAGUAUUUAUUGAAUGUAGUAAAAUUUUACACUUGUAUAUACACUUGUGCCAAUACAAACCCCUUUAUCAUGACUUUUUUAUACACAGGUCUGUUUAAUAAGGUCAGAUCUUUAUCAGGCUAAUAUGAAAAGUCUAAAAACUAGGAAAAAAGAGAUUUCACUUACAGCAGAUUCUUUACAACAAAAGAGGAUGGAGUAGGUCCCCUCUCUAUUAUAAAUAUAAAGCCUCUCACCCACAAUCCAUGGGUGUGGGCCAGGGUCCCCCUUUCUAGGCCCCCCACCCAAAUGCCCAUGGGUGGGAGCAAGUGAUGGAACACUAAGUCCCCCCCCUUUUUUUAUAUUACGGACACCAGCUGUCAUCCAUAGGUGGGGGCUGCAGAAAGGACAAUAG